AGGAUCUUCUCGUUCAUGGGAGAUGAUUGAAAGAUGGUUUCGGAUAUCACUUACAGAUGGGCCC
rnacentral:rRNA from 1 species